rnacentral:lncRNA from 1 species
AACCAACUGAUCUAGAGGAUAAUUGACAAAGAGAGUGAGAUCGGGAGAAAGGAGAGAGCCGCCGCACGCGGCGGCGGCGUCGGCGAUGUGGUUUCACAGCUGUGACGAAGAGAAGCAGGAGAGCUGCUGAAGAUGAUCAAUGAUGUUAAUGGCGAUUGACGGCGUUGAAGACGGAGGUGGUUGACGGAACCAGAUUGAUUCUAUUGAAUGUAGUUAUGUAGGAUUUAUGUUGAUUGCAAUCGUUAAUGGUGAUGGAUGGGAGAACAGGUGGGUUAAAUCUGACUGGAAGAAAGAUGAGAACAUGGCAGGUCGUUGGCGGUGA